rnacentral:rRNA from 1 species
AAGAAGAGUUUGAUCCUGGCUCAGGAUGAACGCUAGCGGCAGGCUUAACACAUGCAAGUCGAGGGGCAGCGCGGGGCGGCAACGUCCUGGCGGCGACCGGCGGAAGGGUGCGUAACGCGUGAGCGACAUGCCCGUUGCCCGGGGACAACCGGUGGAAACGCCGACUAAUCCCCGAUGGGACGGAGGCCCUCAUGGGUCUCUGUUGAAAGUUACGGCGGCGACGGAUUGGCUCGCGUCCGAUUAGCUUGUUGGCGGGGUAACGGCCCACCAAGGCUACGAUCGGUAGGGGUUCUGAGAGGAAGGUCCCCCACAAUGGAACUGAGACACGGUCCAUACUCCUACGGGAGGCAGCAGUGAGGAAUAUUGGUCAAUGGGCGGAAGCCUGAACCAGCCAUGCCGCGUGCGGGAAGGAGGCCCUAUGGGCUGUGAACCGCUUUUGCCUGGGGGCAAUAAGGGCGUCGCGCACGUCCGAUGAGAGUACCAGGGGAAUAAGCAUCGGCUAACUCCGUGCCAGCAGCCGCGGUAAUACGGGGGAUGCGAGCGUUAUCCGGAUUCAUUGGGUUUAAAGGGUGCGUAGGCUGUGCGUCAAGUCAGGGGUGAAAUUCCGGGGCUCAACUCCGGGGCUGCCCUUGAUACUGUCGCGCUGGAGUGCGGAUGCCGCCGGAGGAAUGAGUGGUGUAGCGGUGAAAUGCUUAGAUAUCACUCAGAACACCGAUUGCGAAGGCAUCUGGCGAAUCCGUAACUGACGCUGAGGCACGAAAGCGUGGGGAUAGAACAGGAUUAGAUACCCUGGUAUUCCACGCCGUAAACGAUGAUGGCUAACCGCCGGCGACACACUGUCGGUGGCCAAGCGAAAGCGAUAAGCCAUCCACCUGGGGAGUACGUCGGCAACGAUGAAACUCAAAGGAAUUGACGGGGGCCCGCACAAGCGGAGGAACAUGUGGUUUAAUUCGAUGAUACGCGAGGAACCUUACCCGGGCUCGAACGGCGCCUGAACCACCCAGAGACGGGUGGGUCUUCGGACAGGUGCCGAGGUGCUGCAUGGUUGUCGUCAGCUCGUGCCGUGAGGUGUCGGCUCAAGUGCCAUAACGAGCGCAACCCCUGCCGCCAGUUGCCAUCAGGUGAAGCUGGGCACUCUGGCGGGACUGCCACCGCAAGGUGUGAGGAGGGGGGGGAUGACGUCAAAUCAGCACGGCCCUUACGUCCGGGGCGACACACGUGUUACAAUGGCGGCCACAGAGGGAGGCUACCCGGCGACGGGAUGCGGAUCUCGAAAAGCCGUCCCAGUUCGGACUGGAGUCUGCAACCCGACUCCACGAAGUUGGAUUCGCUAGUAAUCGCGCAUCAGCCAUGGCGCGGUGAAUACGUUCCCGGGCCUUGUACACACCGCCCGUCAAGCCAUGGAAGCCGCGGGCGCCUGAAGUCCGUGACCGAGAGGAGCGGCCUAGGGCGAAAGUGGUAACUGGGGCUAAGUCGUAACAAGGUAGCCGUACCGGAAGGUGUGGCUGGAACACCUCCUU